rnacentral:hammerhead_ribozyme from 1 species
AUCCAACUGACGAGUCUCAAAUAAGACGAAACGCUCGUCUUGAAU